ensembl:Y_RNA Y_RNA Y RNA
GGCUGCUCUGAAUAGUCAGUUAUCUCGAUUGUUCACAGUCAGUUACAGAUUGAAUUCCUUGUUCUACUCUUUCCCCCCUUCUCACUAUUGAACUUGACUAGUCUUAA